rnacentral:rRNA from 1 species
GGAGGGUGCAAGCGUUAUCCGGAUUCACUGGGUUUAAAGGGUGCGUAGGUGGGCAAGUAAGUCAGUGGUGAAAUCUCCGGGCUUAACCCGGAAACUGCCAUUGAUACUAUUUGUCUUGAAUACUGUGGAGGUCAGCGGAAUAUGUCAUGUAGCGGUGAAAUGCUUAGAUAUGACAUAGAACACCAAUUGCGAAGGCAGCUGACUACACAAAUAUUGACACUGAGGCACGAAAGCGUGGGGAUCAAACAGGAUUAGAUACCCUGGUAGUCCACGCCCUAAACUAUGGAUACUCGACAUUUGCGAUAAACUGCAAGUGUCUGAGCGAAAGCAUUAAGUAUCCCACCUGGGAAGUACGAUCGCAGGAUUG